rnacentral:rRNA from 1 species
UACGAAGGGGGGCUAGCGUUGUUCGGAAUUACUGGGCGUAAAGCGUGCGCAGGCGGCUUCUCAAGUCAGGGGUGAAAGCCCAGAGCUCAACUCUGGAAUUGCCUUUGAGACUGAGUGGCUUGAGUACGAGAGAGGUGAGUGGAAUUCCCAGUGUAGAGGUGAAAUUCGUAGAUAUUGGGGAAGAACACCGGUGGCGAAGGCGGCUCACUGGCUCGUAACUGACGCUCAUG